rnacentral:rRNA from 1 species
UAGGGAAUCUUCCACAAUGGGCGCAAGCCUGAUGGAGCAACACCGCGUGAGUGAAGAAGGGUUUCGGCUCGUAAAACUCUGUUGUUAGAGAAGAACAUAUCUGAGAGUAACUGUUCAGGUAUUGACGGUAUUUAACCAGAAAGCCACGGCUAACUACGUGCCAG